GACGAACGCUGGCGGCGUGCUUAACACAUGCAAGUCGAACGGAAAGGCCCUGCUUUUGUGGGGUGCUCGAGUGGCGAACGGGUGAGUAACACGUGAGUAACCUGCCCUUGACUUUGGGAUAACUUCAGGAAACUGGGGCUAAUACCGGAUAGGAGCUCCUGCUGCAUGGUGGGGGUUGGAAAGUUUCGGCGGUUGGGGAUGGACUCGCGGCUUAUCAGCUUGUUGGUGGGGUAGUGGCUUACCAAGGCUUUGACGGGUAGCCGGCCUGAGAGGGUGACCGGCGACAUUGGGACUGAGAUACGGCCCAGACUCCUACGGGAGGCAGCAGUGGGGAAUAUUGCACAAUGGGAGGAAGCCUGAUGCAGCAACGCCGCGUGCGGGAUGACGGCCUUCGGGUUGUAAACCGCUUUAGCCUGUGACGAAGCGUGAGUGACGGUAAUGGGUAAAGAAGCACCGGCUAACUACGUG
rnacentral:rRNA from 1 species